UCACUUUGGAAGCGCACAUAUUAAUACUGGAACAAUACAGGAAGAUUAGCAUGGCCGCACGCAAGGAUGACACACACACAUUCAUGAGGUGUUUCUUAUUUUU
rnacentral:snRNA from 1 species